rnacentral:lncRNA from 1 species
GAUUUUGUCUGACAUUUCCUAAAAUAGUUUUCAUAUAUUUAUGUUGAAAUGUAGCUUUGACAUAUUUGGAUGUGCCAUAUAGCCAUCGCAUUGACAAAUGUUUCCAGUCUCAAUGUUUUGGACGAGGGGAAGGAGUCUCAAAGGAAUUAUUCGAUGUCCUAUCUAGAUUAGUGAACUUAAACCUAGUAUUUGCUUACGAGACGGGUCAAUCAUGCAUUGUAGAGAACCAAUAACAUUAAAUCAUGUUUUAUAAAAUCUUCCACUAUGAUGAUUAUAAUCAAUGAUGGAGUGGGACCUUGCUGAAGCAUGGUUGUUUUUUUCAUAAUUUUUGAACUCAUGUUCUGUCGAGGCACCAAAUUGAUACAUUUAAUGGUCAAUGCUGAAUUUGGUCUACAUCAGUAAGCUUUGAUUCAUGUAAAUUGUUUGAUCAAUUCAAAUUCUGUUUGGCAACAUUACAGGCGCAGACUGUUUAUGGGGCGUUACAUGGGCUUCAGGUUUUAUACUAAUCCUUAAGACAUGAAAUUGUAACUCUUUUGAUAUUCCUACCAAGUUCAAAAUUGUCUAAGUUUGCAUGACAAUAAAUUUUGUAGACAUUCAGCCAAUUGUGUCAUUUUAACGUUACAAGUAGACUGAUUGAAGUUCACAUGGUCCCGUGGACUAUCAUUGAUCAACCAAGAUUCUCUUAUCGAGGGCUCUUGAUUGGUGAGUUGUUUUCUGCAGUCCUUUUCUGUAAUAUGUUUAGUUUACUUUUGAUGUAUAUGUUUUUCAAAGCCCCUGCUGAGGGCUUUAUUCCAUGUACUAGCUUCUGGUUUGAUAAGGUUGGCAAUUACCACUGAAGGUUUUGAUGGGAAGAAAGUUUACUUCUUGUGAAAUGGGUCUGGAGGGCUAUCCCAAGCUGACAUUGGGCCACUUGAAAAGCUUGAUGUCCAAUUGUUUGGUCGAUUCUGUUUUUAUAUCUCAAAUCCACUCUGUAUUUUCAAAUUCUAAUGUGCUUGUCUGACUUACAAGUGGAAUUUGUGCAGAUACAUCAAGACACUAUCAGCCAGUGCCAAUGAUUAAGAAAGUAAUUGAUUCCAUGGCCUAUGCAAAAUUGGUAUGUGAUGCAUAGUUAACUAAUCUAUAGUUGAGAAUCUUUUAGAAUAUUAGGUGAAAUAAAUACAUAUUUGUUCUAAUGUUUGCUGGAAAAUAAUCAGUUGUAUUUUGCUUUUAGCAUUAAAGGUAUAAGAGGUUUUCAUGAUCGCAUUUGUUGAGGAGUAUCAUCCCUAUUUCUGUUCAUAACCAUUUGCUAGGAUUUAGUUUGCCUGAAUUAGCUUCUUCCUCUAUAGGGACAGCAAUGAAGUUUGGGAAAUCUUGCAUCCAUAAAAAGGAUAGGAAAUAGUAAUUUGCGCAGCAGUGUUUAAGCCUUGGAUCUUGCACCAGGAAACCUAUCCAACAUGAAAUGAGACAGAAAUUUGGCAACUGUCGCUUAAAUCCUUUUUGAACAGAAAAUGGUGUUAACACAACAAUUUACUGUAAUUAGCAGUUUGCUGAUACGGUUUACUUUGUAACAAGCUGUAAUGUUGUUUCACACUGACCUUAUGUUGAUUUUUAUCAUCUAGCCUGUUGUAAGAACUCAGAUAGCUGUGGUAUUAAUCAUCUAGCCUGUUGUAAGACUCAGAUAGCUGUGGUAUUAACAGAAUUAGUCGGUGAGAAGUGGAUUUUCCUUGCAGAAGGUGUUAGCAGGUCAAUAAAACUAUUGAAAAACAAUACCAGUCAUUGGCCUUUAUGAUUUUUUUCUGUUGCAAAUGCAGAAUGUGUUGCACUGGCACAUUGUAGAUACCCAAUCUUUCCCUUUGGAGAUACCUUCAUAUCCACAUCUGUGGGAUGGGGCUUAUUCAGUUUCAGAGCGGUACACUUUUUCUGAUGCUGCUGAAAUUGUGAGGCAAGUGAUUCUGCUGUCUUCACCUUCUACAAACUUAUUGUCUAUGUAGUUUUAUCAUCUCUAAUAUGUCAAGAAAAAAAUUUGCAGUUAUGCUCAAAGGAGAGGAAUUAAUGUAUUAGCUGAACUUGAUGUUCCUGGACAUGCUCUCUCAUGGUAAUAGUAACAUCCUCGUAUGGUGGUUUUCUCUGUUGUCUCAGUUAUAUUCCUUUCAAAAAUUACUGUGCAUGUAUCUAUGAGAUCAGGAUGCAAACUUUUAACCCCAAAAAUUGACACUUGUUCAUUUAAAAAAAGAAUCUUAUCCUCUUCAAGUGAAUAAUGGCAGGAUUUGAAUUUCUGAUCAUUCAUGGCUUCUGCAAUAGCUACAGAAAAAUUCCCAGGAAAAGACUUUAUAGAUCAUGACUGGCUGAUGUAAUGACUGCCAUGUCUUUCCAGGUGUUGGGGGGAAUAUUUAUACAGCUUUCUAAUUUAGUUUUUGCAAGAUGCUAGAUAACAACAAUCUAUAUUUCUUAACGGAUAGAAUUUAAGAAUUCAUCGGAAUUAUCACAGAAUUAGGUAAUGUUCAAUCCACGAGGAUGUGUAGAACAUUUUUUCAUAGAAGCUGCCAUUGGUCACUUGACUUGAUGAUGAUGUGUCUUUCUGUUGACCUGUAUGAUUUACCUAUUAGAUGUUCUUCCUCGCAAACAAUAGAGUUGGGUACUUAUUGUCAAUGUAUAUGGAAAGAAUAUCAACAAUAUAUGGCAACCAAAUUGUAACAGAAUAUCUUGUAUUUAUUGUAUUUAUUAUAGACUACAAAUCAGGGAUUAUAGACUACAAAUUAGGGAUUAUUACAUGUAUUUAUAGGACUCAAUUCUUCCUUUCAGAAUCAAUGAAAAUACAGAGAACUUUACAUUGAAAUCUGAUAAUUGUGACAUGGUAUCAGAGCCGGUUAUUCUCUAAUCUAGAUCUUUUGUUCUUUUCUUAAGUCUAUAGACUGAAUUCAUCAGUAUUUGGUGAUAUUUUUUUUGAGAUUCCUAGGAUGUCUGGAGAGGCUUUUCUUACUCGAUUCAAUGGCAAAAACUAUGCUAGUUGGGAGUUUCAGUUUCGUAUGUUUGUUAAAGGGAAGGAAUUAUGGGGGCAUCUUGAUGGAUCUUCACCAGCACGUGACACUUAUAACACCCUGCCAACUUGUAUCCAAUAAAACUGCUUGUUCUCAAAAGUUUUGAGGUUAUAAAGAUGUUAUUUUAUGAGUAAUGCUGGCAAACCAAAAGGUUGUUUGUAGCUCAUGGAUCUAUUGCAGUUAGCCUCAGUGAACUUUCUGCAGAAGUGAUGAAUGCUAAUGGUUUUCAGGGCCAAACAUGAGAAGGAUUAAGGGCUAUUGUUUAGUGAUAUCUGGUGAAAGUCUAGGUUGGUGACCAAGGCAUUGUAGAUACGAGGCCUGGGGGUAGCCAUUUGAUGCAAAAUGCUGCAGCGCUGAACCAUUUUCAGAGUUCCUUUCCUAGGAUUGUACUUCUAUGGGACCACAAAUGGGCAAGCCUUUAUGGCUAACUCAGACUUCGGUGCAUAGUUUAGAUUGUCAUGAAUUUGUGACUUUGUAUUUUAAAAACCUAUGGCAAGGCGGGUUCUGUAGGUUUCCCUUGUUGCCAAAAGAUGCAAACUCACAAAAACAAUAAAAAUAUUUGACGUUUUCCAUUUCUUGCAAUAUGGCCAUUAUGAUAGAAUGGUAUCACAAACUAUGAUCUCCAAAUGACUUAAAUGGAUAUUUUUCCCCUGUAAUUAGGGGGCAUGGCUAUCCUUCUCUAUGGCCAUCAAAAGACUGUCAGCAGCCACUUGAUGUCAGCAAUGAAUUUACAUUCAAAGUGAUAGAUGGGAUUCUUUCAGGUAAUGCCUGCACUUUCAAUUUAGAACAGUGUGGUUUGAUAUCAAUAAGUUGUCAUGUCAGAAGACUAAGAAAAUAUAUGUAAAUUUGCAAGUUAGCUUAAUUUGGGUGAAAAACAAAAAUGAAAGGAUGAAUGGUUAACAUUAUUACUUUUUUCACGUUCAGAUUUCAGUAAGAUCUUUAAAUUCAAGUUUGUUCACUUGGGAGGUGAUGAAGUUGACCCAAGUAAGUUCAAUAGUUACAUUUUGCUAUCACCAUUUUUGUAUUGAUUGUUUAUUGUUUAUGGAGCAUUUUUUUUUUAUUAUUAUUAUUUUGUUUCUUGGCCUCUGGGGAUUUUCUUUCCUUUUAUCAUAUCUUUUCUUCUUUUAUUUUUGGGUGUAUGUGUUGAAACAUGGUAUUUGAUGUUAAUGAAAAUAUAGGGGCCACAGGUUAUUUGCUUCCGUUUGCUCUUAAUUUUUGAAAUAUACAUCUAUGGAGCUUCACAUUAUUGACAAGCAACUGUAUGAGUCUUUUUCAGGUUGCUGGACAACAACUCCCCACAUAAUAAAAUGGUAACAAUCCCACGAAUUCUACAUGCAAAGUAACUGAUGUUUCUUUUCUUUUCUUUUUUUUCUGUAGACACCGAGUAUAUCACAUUAUUAUCUUCAUGCUUGAUGUCCACAACCAUAUUUUCCUCGUUUUGUAGUUAAUACAUGUGGAUUUACGUGGGUACUGUGUGUUUGCUGUACAUGACAUCACUGUUACAUUAUUUUAUGAUUACUGCUAUUAUUGGAUUUCCUGAGAAAUAACUAGCAUGUCAGACUCACAGCUAUUUCUUUUAGUUUUUGUUUUUCUCCCAUUCGAUGUACCUUAAAAGAGCAUGCAAUUGUAACAAAAGAGAGAGGGCAUGUAAAUUGUAUUCGUAUUGUAUGUUGUUUGACCUUGACGUGAUCACGAUACUGUCUAUUCUGAAACCUGCAGGUUAAAAGAGCAUAGAAUGAAUGGAUCUCAAGCUUAUCAGUACUUUGUCUUGCGGGCACAGAAAAUAGCUUUGUCCCAUGGAUUUGAAAUUGUUAACUGGUACGAACAAUUCUGGAUAAGGUUAGAUAUCAAAUUUCACUGGUUUUAUAUCUUAUCCAAUCGUGCAAUGAAACAGGGAGGAGACCUUCAAUGACUUUGGAAAUAAAUUGAGCCGGAAGACUGUGGUGCACAAUUGGUAUGCCAUACUUUCUGCAUAAUUUCAUAAAAUGACCUUGUCAUGAUGCAUCUUAACAUGGCCACCCUGUAGAUCAGUAAAUGAACAAAUAUAAGCAUCAUUUAUCCAUGAUGCAACCGUCUAUUUGCUUGUUGGACUUGUAGUAUUGAGAGACUAGAAUCAAGAUUAUAUAAAAAAUGGGAAAAGCUCCCCUGUGCAGAAUAUGAAUUUUGGUUAAUCGAUACAGCUAAACUUGACUUGAUAAGGGUGUUAAGAUGUUUUAGUCCAUCUGCAAUGCUAAUUGUGACAAGUAAUUUUUAUAUGCUAGAAAAAGUCAAAUGUAGUAGUUGGUAAAGAGUGUCGUUCUCGCUACUAUUAAUUCUCACUACUUAAAUAUUUGCUAGUUCUGAAGAGUGACAUCUGGUUCACCUGGUCCAAGUCCAUUAAUGUUUAGAUGAAAACUUCAGGAACUCUUUCUCUUUGUGAAUUCACAUAUUGUAAUCACAAUUAAAAUUACUGUAGAUAUUAGACAAUCAGUGAACAUUGUUGAGUUAAUUACACCAAGCAAAUAGAUCUUAGAGAUGAUUGUAUUUGCACUGCCAUAAUAAUUUUGUUUGUCCUUGUAUUUCGGGCACACUUGAUCUUUAGCAUACAAUUUUCUUUGCAGGCUUGGAGGUGGAGUUGCUGAGCAAGUGGUUGCAUCUGGGUUGAGGUGCAUUGUGAGCAACCAGGACAAAUGGUAUCUAGAUCACUUGGAUACUCGUUGGGAAGAGUUCUAUAAGAAUGAACCACUUACAAAUAUAACAAACCCCGAGCAACAGAGUUUAGUUCUUGGGGGGGAAGUAUGCAUGUGGGGAGAAACGGUGGAUGCGUCAAACAUUGAACAAACCAUAUGGCCACGUGCUGCAGCUGCUGCAGGUAUUUAUUGUAUAUCAUGUCAAUUGACAACGAAAUUGCUGAGACGUUGCAACAUAUUCAUAUUAAGUUAUCCAGUUUUCUUGUUUUCAAUACCAUGUAGUUGAUGGUCAUUGAAAAGGAUUGUGCAGUGACACAAACAAUAUUAUAAAUCUGAUUUCAUAUUAGCUUCCUAGUCACAUAAAUUGGUCACAAUCUUGGUGAAUUUACUACUGUUGAUCUUAAGGGUUCAUGAAACUAUACGCUUUGUGGAUGCUUCUGUGUAUUAAGAGAUCUGCCUUUCCAUCCCAAAGGUGGUUUUAGUUGAUACAUGGUUAUCACUGCUAACAUUCAUGGACCAAGGCAGGUGACUGGUAGUCUCAUUUGAAGAGGCACCAGAUGAUGCCUUGAGUGAUUUUUAGAGUUGACUAGUUUUGAUCUUUUUUAGAAUCCUCUUAAAGGUACUUCUUGAGAAACUUUUCCAUCAUUAUAGGAGAGAUAAAAACUUUAACUAUACAUCUUUCUUCCCUCUGUUUUUAAGCCCAGCAUGUCAAAUCUUCCAUUUUUUUGUUUCUGCUCUCUACUCAGCUUAAUCUUUCAUGCAAACUGUAUCUUCACUUCAAAAUAAUGAUUUUAUUCUCUCUGUUUUCUGUUCCUAUGUGAUUGAAGAGCGGCUAUGGACACCUUAUGACAAGCUAGCGAAGGAUCCAGAAAAAGUUGCUGGAAGGUUAGCGCACUUCAGGUGUUUGUUGAAUCAAAGAGGGGUUGCCGCAGCUCCUUUAGCUGGACCAGGCCGAGGAGCACCUAUAGAACCAGGUUCUUGUAAUGCACAGUAAUGAGUACAAACACAUCUCUAAUUCUUGAGGGUGAAAUGCAGUUGAUUCAAAAUCACCCCCGGAUGUAAGGAACACGUAAUAAUGCAUCCUGGAUAUAUUCAGGUGGCUUCUGGUUCGAUUUUUAUGAAAAUAGUCCAAAAUGGUCGCACAAGUUCUGCCCAACUAAGUCCCUUCGUUCUUGAAGUGUUUGUGGUUGAAUCGUAAAGGAGACUUGCAAGGGAUUUCGAGUGUUUAUGGUGAAGUUUUUUCUUUUCUUUUUUUCCUUUGGAUCUUAUGAUAUCUGACCCCAAAAAUCAUUAAUUUGAACAGUUGAAAUUUACCUUGAAAGAUUAGUUCAUAACUUACUCAAGGAUUGCGCUUGGAAUUUGUUUAAGAAAAAUAAAUAAAAAUCAAAUUUUAAUUAUUGAUUUUUACUCAGAUUUCAUUAAUGGAAGAAUUAUGAAAGGAGAAACUCGAAGCAUUUUUUUAUCAUAUUUUAACCGACAAUAUACCUUCAAGGUAUCUUGUCGAAAGUAAUUUAUGAAUUUUGGGAAUAAAUAAAGCAGCUUCAUACUCAAGGAAAAUAAGCUAUAUUCCCAAGGAAAAUCUCCCUCAAGUGGUUUCUUGGGUUUGAAGAACAGAGUUGAACUUAAAUCUUAUACUGGCAAGGAUUGAGAAUCUCCAAUGAACCCCGGAAAACUAUAAACUGUCCAAUGCAUUUGACACCCGACAAUUCCUGGACUAAUAAAAACUUUCCCAGUUUACCCGAAUUUCCAAAGAACACUAAAUCGUUUAGCCACCGAACAAAUUAAAGACCGUGACGGACCAAUCUUUUUAGUGAACAUAGAUUGAUUACAUGUCUUUCAAAUACUUAAUUUCCAUUUACUUAAUCUUUUUACUUAAUACAUGUAUAAUUAUGUUUUCAAACGCUCACUAAAUAUUAACGGAGAAGAUUGAAUUUUGAACUUCAAGAAUAAGAAUAGCAGGGAAAUCUACAAUUUAUAUUAGGAUUUUGCCUCCUAAAUGACACGAUAUUUAUUGCAAAGAUUUUUUUCUUCAAAUGGUGUCAUGUGAAUCUCAGCACAUUUAAUGUCAUAGCUAUAAUCAUCUAAUAAAAUGAUUUUUUUUUUUAAAAAUAGACAAGCAUGUUAUUUUUUAAAAAAUUAUUAUCUAAUCACCACUGUUUUAUAAAUAAAAAACAGUGAUAAUUAUUUUUCAAAGUAUUUUAAUUUUUAAAAUACAUUAAAAUAUUUUUUUAUUUUUUAAAAUUUAUUUUUGACACUAGCAUAUUAAAAUGAUAAAAAAAUCAUGUAAAAAAAUAUUUUUUUAAAAAAAUAACAUUUUUACAACAAAAACAAUCAAGGUAGAAGUAGAAAAAGUUAGAAAAAAAUGAUUUUUCUAAGAGUUCAUUUGUUUUUACAUUUUAAAAAUGUUUUUGAAAAUAAUUUUUUUUUUACUUCAAAUUAAUAUAUCUUAAUAUUUUUCAUAUCAUAUUGAUGUGUUAAUACUAAAAAUAAAAAAAAUUAUUCAAUAUAUUUCAAAGUAAAUAACACUAUAAAAAAACAACCACUACUACAAUACUUAAAAAUCAUGCUUUUUAAAGUGAUUGGGAGUUUUAUUGCCGUUACUUUUUAAAGUGCUUUUUAUUUAGAAAAGCAUGCUAAAAAUAUUUUUUUAUAUUUUAAAAAUUAUUUUUAAGAUUAACACAUCAAAAAAAUUUAAAAACAUAAAAAAACAUAUUAAUUUUAAAAAACAAAUUUAAAUUUUUUAAAAAACACUUUUCACCAACAAUGCGAAACACCCUCUAAUCCACUUUUAAGUUUGCAUGUCGACCAGAAUGAAAAUUUAAAAUCAUAUAGUUACUAUAAAAUUCAAAACGCUGUAUUUUCUUUUGCACCCACGUAUAAAAAGUAGCGGCAAGUAUGAGAAGGAAGGAGGAAUUGAGUUCAAAACUCACCUCUUUUUAGAGUUCAAAACACAUGCUAAAGACCUAUGAAUAUGUCACUGUACAUUCACAGGCAUUCAUUAUUCACCAAACAAUGGAUACCUUCCGUUACUGCUUGGACCAGAUUAGAUUUUGGAUUUACAAUUAUAAUCUUCUUAAGACAACAACAGGAGAGGAUGGCAGAGAGAAUAAAGAAAGAAGGAAAGCCCACCUCACAAUCUCACAUCAGUGCUUCUCACGCCAAAACAAUCACUAACUUCAGACCGAGAAUGUAUCAAAAAGGAAACAUAAAACAACUUCUCUGUCAAUCCCAUUAUCUUGAAUUUUAUAGCCCACCACAACCCUCUUGUUCCCUUUUCUUCACCUCCCAAGGUUCUCUGUUUUUUCUUAUCCUUUUAUAGCGCCAGGAGUUGAAUAUAGACCAUACACUGAUACAAAUGCAUGUAGUGUGUGUCUAUAUAUCUGAACUUCAAUCUUGAUUCUGUUUCUUGGGUCUCUUUUCUUUCCUUUUCUUUUUAUCUUGUUGGAAAGAUAGAGAUGGGGUUGAGAAGUGCUUGGUUAGUGGUGGUGUUUUUGUUUAUUGGGGUUGCUGUGGCAAAGAAUGUGAAUGGGUUGAAUGUAUGGCCAAUGCCGAAGCGGGUGUUGGGCGGAAUCCGGGGACCGGUGAUGUACUGAUAAUUGCUCAACAGAGGAAUAAGCACACAGACACAAUAAUUUACGUGGUUCGGCAAAACCGUCUACAUCCACGGGAAAGAUAAUAUUAUUUGAGGUAGAGAAAGAAUACAAUAAAUACAUGGAGGAGGAUAUAAUCACUCAACUCCCAUCUCACUCUCGUUGCCUUGCAGCUGCAGGGCUGCUGCCAUGGGCAGCAGCCCUUUCUCUUCUCUUUCUCUUCACCCUCACGUUAUUCACAACUCUCCCAAAGCUCUCUUUGUAUGGUGCCUAUUUAUAGGCAUGAUGGUGGCUUCUCUUCUUCUUUCCAGCAGCUGCAGCUGCAAUCAAUGGUGGCUGCCAUCUUCUUCAACAAAGGCUGCUGGUCAAUGUUUGGUGGGGGUUGGUGGUAGUGUAGAAUCAAUGGCAAUACCUAACAAUCACCCCCUUUGCCAUUUAUGUGGGCAAUUGUCCUCUUGCUUCUUCAGCACAAUCUUGCAUCCUGCAGCUCUUCCAAGCUUACCAUUCCGAGAGCGUCUCUGGCCAAGUUUACAGGUACUCGCCAAACCUUCCAAUCACCAGAGUCACUAAAGCACACCCUUGCUUACACCAAAGGAUCACUUUAACCAGAUGGUCUCACACAUCACAUCUGAAGAGUGUUAACGCUUGUCUCUGGGAACAUUCCCCUUCGAGCGUAUCAACCAUGCUCGGUCCGGAAUGAUUUAUCAAGCCUCACACCAAGGCUUACAACACCCCCUCAAACGGAUAUUCCAAGUGCGACAGUCAUUAUCUGAGUAUCUCAAUAUGAUCACAAGCCCACCACUCUUCCAAGAGUCUACUCAUCCAGGAGUUGCGCCUGCCCUCUGUUCCACCAUAGGAACCACGCCUUACUUCUCCGUGAGUCUCUCGCUCUUAGUCGUAAGAGUCCAGGUAGCUCUCCACCUUUAACCAUGGGGCAGCCCAUUAAAGGUUGAUCCAUUAUGUCUUCAUACUCUGAGUAUUACAAUGCCAUCACCGAGCUCACCACCUUGACAAGAGUCAACUCGUUCCGGAACCUGCGCAUGCCCUCUGCUCCUUCAUAGCAGUCGCGUCUUAAUGCUCCACAAGUCACACACUUAUUGUCCAAGGCAAAUGUCUUCUAGCUCAUUGAUCUUUAGCAUGGGGGCAAUAUCCAUGAAAGUCAAUCCUGCAUUUGUCUUCAUACUCAUCAUAGCCACUUCAUUGGCUAUCACCUGUCCACUUAUAUCAGCCAUCACAUCGGCUCUGGGGCGUUCUGUACUGGGCUCAUAUCUUGGCCCACACACCUUCUUCUCGGGUGUCUCCGCUCGUCGUCAUGCGGCGGUCUGAAAUGGGGCUCCUAUCGGCCCUCACACCUUCUCUAAGGUGUCUUCGCCUGUUGUCAUAGGCGUCUGAAUCUGGGGCUCUAUCAUGGCCCUCACACCUUCUCCUGAGGUUCUCCGCUCGUUGUGGAGCGGUCUCAUCCUCUUCAUCGGGAUGACUCCAGUGGCUCCAAGAUUCUCUACCACCAUGUGGACUUGGGAGAGAUUACAGCCACUGACUACAUAGAAAGAGAAAGUUACGGUAUACUCCUCGCAAUCCUCCACCUCGAUUUCUAUGUUUGGAGCUUCUAUGCCUUUCUGCUUGACAGCUCCACCUACACCAACUCUCUUUGGUGGCUUCGCCUUUCAUCAUAGGCGGUCGCCUUUUAUCACAAGCGUUUGUACCCCCUCAAUUAGGUGCCUCUGCAACAGCUCUCUUUCCAUCCUUGCAUGCAUUGGAAAGGUCUUCGUUUGUUGUCUUCAUCAAGAGCAUAAGAGACUUCCUGUUGUACAAACUUUAACAGUCUCUGCUCUGAGCUUCAUCUGGGAACACUUCUUCUCCUUGCACAUGUUGUCUCAUUACAGUACCUCGUUGGAUCCCUCGGGUACUCUUGCACAAUCUUCGUGUGCCCUCGUGCAAUUACUGUUCUCCAUAUUUCUCCCUAUUCCUUGCUUAUGUUUGACAGCAGCUCAUCCCGUCACAACACCUGUCCAAGUCAAAAUAGGGUGCCAAUCUUUAUCCCCUUGCUGUAUUUCUCUUCCAUUAUCAGGGUCUUCAUCAAUUCUCCCUUCGAGAAACACAGUCACCGAAUCUGCCUUCUUUGGAGAAAUCACCACUCCAUCAGAUCCUUGAUCAUGCGGAACCCAACUGUUCCCCUUGUGCCGUCAUCCUGCUAGUCUUCAACGUUUCAUUACAAACUGCUAUAUAUACGAAAAUAGUACCGUAUGGAUAAUCCUUCCACUAAGCAAGUUCCCAGGAAAGAUUGGAGGGGUCACAACGGUCCCGCUUAAAACCCAAUCUCCUAGACAGAACUUCUUAGGCCAUAUCUAUCCAUCGUACUGUCUCUCCGUAUAUACAACCAUUUGCUAGCUUUGUUGCGGCUUUCCUUUACAAGUGAUCUGGAAUAUACAGGUUUAAUACAUGAUUUCUCAACAUCUACGAGACUACCAGUGCUUAGAUUCGUCAAGAUUGGUCUUCGUCAAUUUCACUCUCCACCUCAAAUCGUCCACAUGACCGGGUGUCCAGAGUGUCCCAAUUUUUCCUUCCAUCAAGGCAUUAUAUUUCCCCAUUAAAUAGUUCAGCACAUGUAAUUGGGUAAACAUGUGCACCCUUUUCUUCUUCAUCUCCAUCGACCACCAUGAUGACCUUCAGAUGCCUCCUGAUCGGGCAAUCUCUCUUUAAUAAUUCACCACCGCCAUUUUUGGUCUCGAAUCUCAACGAUCGGACCGUACCAUUGCAUCUGGAAUGAUCAAAUUAGCUGGAAACAUGUCUUGAAUCGUCCAAAUCACACUUCAGACGGCUACGUUUUGAUCAAAACAAUUCUGGCCUGAUCAACGAUUCAGAUUCAAUCUCAGAUCCGGUUGCACGUAGACUCUGCUGCACAGAAUCCUAUCCCUCGGCUCGGCUCCAACUUGGCUCGGCUCGAGGCUGAUGACGUGGCCGGUGGGUCCCACUAUGCUGACAUGGUUGUUGACUGGUCAAUGCAUGCUGAUGCCAUCGUUACAUAAGGUUGAUGUCAUCCUCUGUAUGUUACUGCUCAUUAAGAUACUGUUCACUAUGGUACUGUUCAUAUAUGAUACUGUUCACAAUGGGUCGGGUCAACCCAUCCGGGUGAAGAAGACGCGUGGGGCGCGUCUGUGCGCGUGGGCAGACGCCUUGCCGGAGAGUGAUGGAGAGUGCGGCCAUGUCCGACGUCCGAUUUUGACGCCGUUUUCACCAAUGGCUUCGUCUCGUCCUCCUCUACACAGUGGAAUGGUCAAAACACCAUUUUGACAACUUGCAUUUUUGAGCAAAAAAUCAAACACCACUUUAAACCAUGUGCUCUGAUACCAAUUGUUGGGCGGAAUCCGGGGACCGGUGAUGUACUGAUAAUUACUCAACAGAGGGAUAAGCACACAGACACAAUAAUUUACGUGGUUCGGCAAAACCGUCUACAUCCACGGGAAAGAUAAUAUUAUUUGAGGUAGAGAAAGAAUACAAUAAAUACAUGGAGGAGGAUAUAAUCACUCAACUCCCAUCUCACUCUCGUUGCCUUGCAGCUGCAGGGCUGCUGCCAUGGGCAGCAGCCCUUUCUCUUCUCUUUCUCUUCACCCUCACGUUAUUCACAACUCUCCCAAAGCUCUCUUUGUAUGGUGCCUAUUUAUAGGCAUGAUGGUGGCUUCUCUUCUUCUUUCCAGCAGCUGCAGCUGCAGUCAAUGGUGGCUGCCAUCUUCUUCAACAAAGGCUGCUGGUCAAUGUUUGGUGGGGGUUGGUGGUAGUGUAGAAUCAAUGGCAAUACCUAACAGCGGGUGAGUAGAGGGCACAGCAGGGUUUACAUGAGUCAAGAUUUUCAGCUAGUUACUGAUGGGAGCAAGUACAUUGAUGGCUCUGAGAUUUUGAAGGAUGGAAUUACAAGAAUGCUUGAUGUAGUGAAAGUUGCUCAUGUUGUUGAUGGUGAUCUUUCUAGCGUAGACAAGUCUCUCAUCAUUAAAGGAAUUCGUGUUCUUAUUUUCUCAUCAGAUGACCAGGUAUGGAGUCAUUGGUUAUCAAUUAUCUUUCCAGUCAGAGCCUUUUCUUUUCUGAUUAUUACCUGAUCAGUUCAUUCACACGGGCCUAAAGAUUAAUGUUUUAAAGUCUGGGAAUGUGAUUCUUCUGAGCUAGGCUAAGAAGAAGUCAUGUUCUCCUUUUUCUUUCCACUUGUAUAAAAAUUUUCAUUAUCACCCGCUGACAACUUUUUUAAAAAAGUUGUUUUUUUUCCCGAUCUUGAAAUACAAAGUGAUGUGCAAUUUGAUAAUCCUUUUGUUUUAACUUAUUUUUCACUAAAUACAACAAUUAUUAGGAAGUAAUCAAGUAUGAGCUGUAGCUAUCAUUAAGUUUUAUUUAAACAACAAUCAAGGUUUUUUUUUUUGUGCAUUUUAGAUGAAAUCUAGAGAGCUCCUUCCUUUAAUUUAGAUUAAACAAACGCUCCUUCUUCCUGUAUUGUGGUGUGCUUUUACAGUUACAAUAUGGUGUUGCCGAGUCAUACAAACUGCUGGUUCCUUCACCAGAGAUGCCAGAUUACGUCCAUCUUGAGGUGGGUGCGCAACCACUACCUUUUAUCUUUUUAGCUGCUGUUUUGUUUAACAACUCACACCUGUCCAACUCAAUUGUAAUAAGUAUCUUUCUCAAGGAAGAUGUUCAAAUAGUAAGACUUGAAAGAAAAUGCUGCUGGAUUUUGUCUGACAUUUCCUAAAAUAGUUUUCAUAUAUUUAUGUUGAAAUGUAGCUUUGACAUAUUUGGAUGUGCCAUAUAGCCAGCGCAUUGACAAAUGUUUCCAGUCUCAAAGGAAUUAUUCGAUGUCCUAUCUAGAUUAGUGAACUUAAACCUAGUAUUUGCUUAAGAGACGGGUCAAUCAUGCAUUGUAGAGAACUAAUAACAUUAAAUCAUGUUUUAUAAAAUCUUCCACUAUCAUGAUUAUAAUCAAUGAUGGAGUGGGACCUUGCUGAAGCAUGGUUGUUUUUUUCAUAAUUUUUGAACUCAUGUUCUGUCGAGGCACCAAAUUGAUACAUUUAAUGGUCAAUGCUGAGUUUGGUCUACAUCAGUAAGCUUUGAUUCAUGUAAAUUGUUUGAUCAAUUCAAAUUCUG